CAUGAGACUCUUAAUCUCAGGGUCGUGGGUUCGAGCCCCACGUCGGGCG
rnacentral:tRNA from 1 species